rnacentral:lncRNA from 1 species
UAUGGAGCCAAGGAGAAGAGGAACAAACAGAAAGAGGAAGCAGCAGAGAGAAUGAGAGAGAGGCCUCUGACCUUGAACUGUGAGGUCUCACAGACCCCCACACCCACAAGACCCUCUUGCCCUGUAGCGUCGACAGGGAGGUGGUAAACAGCACAGCAUCU